rnacentral:lncRNA from 1 species
AAAUUGGCCUAGUGGCUAAAACACUUGGAUUAUAAAAAGUACCUUGCGGCGGAUGGAGAGGAGAGGUAAUCCUGAAGCGUCCAUAAGGACGAUGUUGUCUUUAGGAGAGUUCAUGUAGUUGUCAACCCUAAAGACAAGGUUUCCAUUAGAGUUGUAAACUGUGAAUCCAUCGCAGUUGAAGAGAAGAGACUUCCUCCACACCGUUAAAACCACGGCUGCUUUACUAUCACACAAGCUUUCCUCGUAAGUGUUUGGGAACUUUGGGUGAACUUUUGUCAUUUUCUUUCUUGAUUCUCUGUGUUUAUGUCUUUUCUUUGUGUGUGUUUGAUGAUUGUUGUUGGAGAAGAUGAGUUGAUAUUUGUUUGAUGAAGGUGGUUGCGUGUUUAUAUAUACAAAUGUAGAAAGAGAGAAUGUGGUGCUCAAAUGAAAAGAAUGGUCUCAUCUUCUUGUAUUCCACUAGAGGUAUCGUUUUCAGUCUAUUACUAUAAGAUAUUUAGUCUUUUUAAUUUAUGUCAUUAAUCUAAUUUAUUCCUUUAUAUAAUCCAAUACGGUGUUAAUUCACCAAAACUCCAACCAAAUAUUAUAUAGGAACAUGUAUUUUUAAUCCUGAUCUGACCAAUACUGGCCCUACAAAGUAGCUUGUAGUCUCAUGUUUAAUACAAAUCUAAUGCCAAGAGUUAGGAAAAAAUCACACACUAACCCUAGAUCAAAUAGUCGAGAUUAUAGAAGAAAUUUACAGGAGUAACAAACUACUAAUCGAAUUUACAGGAGAAAAUCACACACAAACCCUAGAUCAAAUAUAUAUUUGUUUUCUGAACUUGCUCUUUUAUGUUUUUUAUCUCUCUACAAUAUAUUGGUGUGUACCUUUUAGACUAAAAAUAAUAUUUAAAUAUUAUUUUUACUUACAUUUUUCUAUUAUAAAUACAGAAUAUUAUUGUCUCUUGUACAGAAAGAAAAAAAGAAUCUACAGCAACGAAAACCUACCGGCCAAAAUCUAUUGUCUUUCCACUCCAGUGCAUCUUUUUUUAUAAUGGAAAAGGAUUGUUUAUAUACGAAAUGUUCUUCGGGUUCUUUAUAUAUUUCUGCAGAAUUAUCACUUUAUUCUCCAAAAUUGAACCCAAAGUAAUAUAUGAUAUAACCUAGUAGUCUAUAUGAUAAACUGAUAAUCAAUAUGUAUUCUUGAUCAAAACCAAAUAUAGUUAAUUAUUGCAUGGCUCUUUAAGACCAAUUCUAUAUCAGAUAUCAGAUAAUGUAUUUUUAUAAAAUAAAGUUUUGAGUUAUUAGUAAUGAACAUUUUGAGCCUAGGGAAACCAUAAUCUAGUGGAGCUGUGGAGGAUAAGAAUUGGUGGAAAGCAAAGUUCAGAUAUUAUACUAUAAAUACCAGUUCAAAGUUUCAAACAUGGUCAUGAAAUAAAAUGGGUUAAGAAAUGAAGUUUUGAACCAAUCCUUGGUUUUAAUAUGAUAAGAUGAAAGGAGGACCACCACAUCAUCAUUCAUCAUUGUAAAUAGUUAAGCUUAAGAACAAAGUGUGUGGCUGAGAAGCGUUUAGCGGUGGGAAGAGAAGAAAAACCAUUCCCAAUAAAAUUACUAACUUUUUGAUUAAAAGAUAUUAUUAAAAUAUCCUUUGUGAUAUUUUUCCACGGCCGUUGGUAGUAAUGAAUGUUCCACUUACGUUGACCUCUCUUAUUUAUAUUCCUUUCGUUAUCUAUCGUUUGUUUAUAGACAAAAAGAUUGUGGUUUCUGCGGCAUAUGUACACAAAAAGUGAUUAUGACCUUUGAGAGGUAAGACGCGUCCCACUUUCACCAAAAAACAAUGGAUUGAAAAGUACGUGCUGCACUUUGAAGAAUAUGUUCUCUUUAGUGCACUGCAGAUGUAGUACAGCCUAAUUGUUCUUCCUACCAAAUCUGAUUCCUCACUAUGUAUAGUCUCUAUACCAAAUUAUUAUUCCAUAAUCUUAGCUUGAGUGUGUGUUUUGUAUGUUCAUUUUGCAUUCUACCUCGUACGUCAUCAUUAAAUGGGUAUUAUGUGAAUGAAGACCUUAAAUAAAUUAUAGGUUUCAAUGGAUGAAUCCAUUUACAUACAUAUGCGAAUUUAUCGUGAAUGUUUAUCACCAAUGAAAAUCGUGUCUUUGAUUAUUCUAAACCGGUUCACCAAAAAUGAAACAUUUCCAUAAAAAAGGUUCGAGAAUCAAAAACCUAAACAGAAUUGUAACGUUCUGACUGUCUCCGUCAGUGGAACUCCACGUCCGCUCACGCAAUCGAUAGAGUGGAGACAGGCCCGGCCCUGAAAAACUUUUCUAAAAGUUGGGCUGGAAGCACAAAAAGAAAUAAAGACUGUCAAGUGGUCUUGAAUCAAGUUACCUUCAAAUGGAACAUUAACUCCUUUAACCAUAUGAAGUAGUAUGAUAAAUUUAUAAAAAUGGCCGAAAUAUACAUCUAAUUUAUUUGCCGGAAGCAGAUGCUUCUACCGCUUCUGCCCAGGGCCGCUACUGGGUGGAGACAAUCAGUAUAUUAGAUUUGUUUUCUGGAAGUUCUAAAUAGUAAACUUAUCCUAUAAUCACCAAAAGAUUUUUAUGUGAUUUAAUUUGCUCUCACUCGUAUGAUAGUCAGAAUCAAUUUCUGAAAAAUUACUCAUUCUUUUACAAUAUUUCAAUUCAAGUACGCUUAAUCAUAAAUUAUUUUUGGGCAAAUUAUCAGAAAAUAAAUGUAAUUAGUGACAUAUUAGGUAAAUCAGUUUUUAAGAACAACAGGAGGAAAAGAAUGGCACACCUUGUUGGGUUUGUUAAAGCUCCAUGUCCAACUCUUUAUUAUCCGAUUAGUAGGAUAUUGUCCAUUUUGGGCCUUAAAAGCUAGCCCGCAUGGAUUUACUUUUGGUUUCUUUUCCAAAAGGCCUCGUACUAAUUAGAGUUGGACAUCUCUUUAUAUAUUAGACACUACUUGUCUAAUUCUCCAAUGUGGGACUUAGUUUGUUAUAUCAUAUUCUCCCCUUCAAACUAAGGAUCACAUUCAUCUCGUGUCCCACAACUGACUUCCAGAAUCUUUUGACUUAAUUUCUGCCACACACUUCUCAUUCCUAACUCAUAGGAUACCAUUCAUGUCUCAAAGGGUAUUUUGGUCUUCUUGCAGAUUUCUCGUCAACUGCUCUGAUACCAAUUGUUGGGUUUGUUAAAGCUCCAUGUCCAACUCUUUAUUAUCCGAUUAGUACGAUAUUGUCCACUUUGGACCUUAGAGGCUAGCCCGCAUGAAUUUACUUUUGGUUUCCUUUCCAAAAGGCCUCGUACUAAUUAGAGUUGGACAUAUCUUUAUAUAUUAGACACUCCUUAUCUAAUUCUCCAAUGUGAGACUUAGUUUGUUAUAUCACACAUCUCUAUGCCAAAAAUCAUAUACAACAUCAAAGUUCCUUCACAUACUCUUUUAUAUUAAUCAAAGCUGAUUUUAAAUCAUCUUGAUCACGUCUCUUAGAAAUCAAUUUGCUAUCAGUUUUAAAAACCCGCUUCUGCUUGCACUCUUCCUUUCAGCAUUUCUCACUGCAAUGCAUUCGAGUUUAUGUACCCCCCAAAAAUGAGAUGUCUGCUCAACCACCAACUCUAAUUCUUUUCUCUGCGUCCGUGACCUGCUUCUAAAGCAUUGGCCUCGUGUAGAUUUUUUACUUUCUUAUCAAGGGUUCACGUUACAGUCUCUCACGAACCGAUCUUCUCGAUUCAGAUGGUUUCUCCAAUAGCUGAAAUGUGGUUCUUCCUACAAAAUCAGAUUCCUCACUCUAUAUAGUCUAUACCAUCUCAAUAUUUUCUCAUCGUCCCAGCUCUAGUCACGGCUUCAUGUUCCCAUUGUAGUGAAAUGUGGCUGCUUUCAUAAACCAGAAUCUUCUGGACUGUAGCAGAAGCUGAAGAACACCAUGAACCCUAGAAUGAUUAAUCAUCUCUUUUCUCUCAAGUCCUAUUUCUCUACUCAGACACAUAUUUCAUUGUCGGAUAUUGUUUACUCUCUAUUUCUCACAUGUGCAACUGCAAAGUGCUUUUUUUUUUUGCUAAAAAACUGCAAAGUGCUUAUUACCCUCCUCGUUGAAGUAUCUUUACAUGUUGUAUUCGGAUUCAUCUCUUAUAAGUUGCCUAUGGAUCCUCAUAACAGAGGUCCAAGUCUUCAUGUCUGUUCCUAGCUAGUUUAAAUUUGUUAGCAGUUAACUUAAUUAUAAAUCAUUACUUCAAGUACAUAACCAUAAUUAUAUAUAUAACAAAACCAGUGUAGAAACUUAUCACGUGCAUAAAACGUUUGUCAUAAAGAAGUUUCAACUUAUCUCUCUGUUUUUUUUCUUGAUAACUCAACAAUCAAACUCAUGAUCAUCAGUCAUCACUUUUGUCACGUGCAAAAAAAUACAAGUUAUCAUGCAGUGUUCAAAAUGUUCUUAUAGCAACGGUUUAUGUUGAUUUAGUCUCACCGAUUUGGUCGGUUGAACCGUUCUAAAUAGCUUUAUGAUUUGCUAGAAAAGAGAACUUUCAUAACCAACAGUUGUUAAAUAUACUUAUCACCCUCAACCACGCCUCCUUUUUGUGAACCAUCCAUACAAAAUACACCGUUAAUCGACUUCAUUUAUAUAUAGUAUCAAGGCUAAAAUCAAAAACUGAAAACAAAAGUUGUUUCUGUUCAUGUGUAACCUAUAUAAGAACACACAUGCAUAAACUACAUAACAAAAAGGGAACUAAUAUAUACUUACAAAAGCUUGAAAAAUCAAUAAGAUCUAAACAUUUGGUCCAGAAUGAUGGUCAAUGCCAUGGCCACGCGAGGCUCCAUAUCCGAUUCAACUAUAAGUUUAAACACAUCUUUGCCAAAGGAACCUCCUCCAACCAUUGCAUCUUUCCUCUUGAUCUCUGCCGUUUUCUUCUUGUUCCUCACGUCUACUAUUUUGCAGCUUUUCUGACCAUAUGAUCCUUCAACCUCGUAUAGUAUUGUCUUCUUCGCGCUAACCCACGCCAAGCUCCUCUUGUUUGUUAGUAUGCUAACGUUUUUCUUUGCUGUAAAUAUUGGGUCUCUUUGUGUUUCUCCAUCAUAUACCGCCCAGCAAUCUCCCAAGCUCAACUUCUGAUCGAAUAAAAGAAGAAAAGAAAUUCAAGAUUAGUUUCAUUAUAAGGAUUCAACACUAACGAUAAAUUGGCCUAGUGGCUAAAACACUUGGAUUAUAAAAAGUACCUUGCGGCGGAUGGAGAGGAGAGGUAAUCCUGAAGCGUCCAUAAGGACGAUGUUGUCUUUAGGAGAGUUCAUGUAGUUGUCAACCCUAAAGACAAGGUUUCCAUUAGAGUUGUAAACUGUGAAUCCAUCGCAGUUGAAGAGAAGAGACUUCCUCCACACCGUUAAAACCACGGCUGCUUUACUAUCACACAAGCUUUCCUCGUAAGUGUUUGGGAACUUUGGGUGAACUUUUGUCAUUUUCUUUCUUGAUUCUCUGUGUUUAUGUCUUUUCUUUGUGUGUGUUUGAUGAUUGUUGUUGGAGAAGAUGAGUUGAUAUUUGUUUGAUGAAG